UGCUGGCAAAACAAAGCUGGACUUUACAAGCAACAACGCUCCUCCUCAAUGUAUUAAAAUAAUUUUAAAUAAGUGGAAAAGCUUGACGGACGUAAGUUGGCAGCACAGACUUGUUGUGUCUGAAGUCAGCAGGUCAGUUCAGCAAAUUAAAAACCGCUGGGAAGCAACGAGUGGUUUCUACAAGGAGAAGCUUAAAACCAGCAGAAGCUGCACGGCUCCAACUAGCUUCACUUAUUAUAAAUAAAUGGAGAAAUAAUCAUAGGACAACCGCUCUCCAAGGAGGACACUGGAGUAGAAGUCGAUUUUCCACCGGAGUAAAGUUCACCUGAGACACUGGAAAGCCUGGAGAUGAUUUAAACAGCACGUCGGAGGAGAUUGAUGACAGCAGCUCUCCACAACCUGAAGAAGACACAGAGGAGGGUCCAGACAAAAAAGGUGAAGCUGCCAAUGAUGACAUGGACCCUCAGUGAUUCCUGGGAUUUUUCUCCACCGCUCGCUGUUGCCGCUAGAUCCUUCUGUCUGUCCAUCAGCCAUCCAUGUGCUCCUCUAUGAUCCUUCAAGGGCUGGGACAUGUGAGAUGUAUGUGGAUGCUGUGGAGGUCCAGAGUGUGCUGCUGGCUCAUGGAGGUGUUGUGUGGACGGGGUCUGGGGAGUUAUCUUUCUGUGACUGAUCUGGUGUUGAUUGCUGACUCACCAAUUGUGGUCCAUUUGCUGAGACUCUCUUUGCCACUUGGAUGUCUUAUGAGCCCUUCGAUCGUUGUGACCACUGGACUCUAUCGACGCCUAUAGUUGCUUAGCUGUCUCUGUAUGUUUGACAAUUCUUUGUUGUGCUUUGUUACCCUGCACGUUAGUGAAGAUGGGUAUUUUAAUUAGUUGUGUGUGUGUGUGUCUCCGUUGCAAGCAGAGGUCACCUGCACAUUGUCUGAGAAUAAAGACUAUUUUGCUCA